rnacentral:lncRNA from 1 species
ACCAACGUAACAUUUACAUCAUCAUAUACACGUGACAUAGCGAGCCUAAUAGGCCAACAUAUUCAUUUAUAAACUCACAACAUAGGUUGAUAAGUUCGUACAAUCUUUCACGUACACGACAUAUGUCUACAAGCCUCUAAGAGUACUAAAAUGUCAUAAAGGUCGGGACAGAGUCCCGCUAUACCAAACAAUACACGUCUAAAUCAUACUAACCAAACAAGAUACUUCGAAGUAAAUGGAGCACACCAACAUCUUCCGCUGAGCUGAUAGCCUACUUGGAGGGCUCUCGACCUAUCUGUCGGGACCUGCGGGAAUAAAACGUAAUGUCCCCAGGCAAAAGGGACGUCGGUACGAAGAAUGCACCGAGUAUGUAAGGCACAUAAAUAAGUACAUAAGUGACAUGUAAGAAAUAUAGAGUACAUGACUCAUAACAACUAUAUCUCAUAUACAUAUAUUUACAUAUAUACGCAUAUAUAACGUCAUCUGAUCAUGAGUCAAUGCACAUGAAUGCAAUGCAUGAAAAGUACGUUAAUAAAAAUUUUCGAAAUUUCAUAAGACCAUUUUGUCUUGAGCAAUAUCAUAAAGUAAACUUUUUUUUCUCAAUUUUCAUUUUUUCUUGAGACCCAUGAACAGAUGAUAAAAUAUUAUGACACAUGAAAAUUCAGGAACAGGAACAUAGAUAUAUCUAAUAUUUUAAAAGAUAGUCAUUUAUAAAAUUUGUGCAUUUGCACGUUUCGUUCGUAUCGUAUAGAUCAUGCCAAAAGAAAUAAAGGAUAUCCUUCACAUACCUGGAGUAGGAACAACUUUGUAUUAUUCCGUUAGAAACCUCCAUAGAUUGAAUUUAGAAUCCAAAAAUCGAAUUUAAGCAUCUGCGCUUCUGAAAUUGGAACGAAACUUUUCUAUGUUGGAUGAAAUGGUACUGCUUUCUAACGUUUUGGGUUGGAUUGGAAUGGAAAUUUUGGACGAAAUUUGGUUAGCUCUUUGAAAUCUAAAUCGAAAUGUUGCUAAAGAAUUUUGGACGAAGUGAUAUGUUUUCCAAGUUUCUUUGAAUUCAAGACAAACUAAUUUGGCAAGAAAUGGAAGGUUUCUGUUCUAAAUGCUCUUGUUUCAGCCAAAGUAAUGAAAUUUGAAAUGAAAAUCAAGACAUUAAAUGAAACCCAUGACAGUAUUUGAAUAAGC